UUUGGAAUAAUUGCAUUUUUACCUUGAAUAUUAUUAUUAUUAUCUUUUGACACUUUAUUCAAGGUAUAAUAUUCCAAGGGGACAAAACACUAUUCAAGUUUGAAUUUAUACAAAGAUAAGAUUCUCCAACAAACUCUAUCAAAGAAAAACACUAUUCAAGAUAAGAUCAAAGACAAAGCUUGGAUUUAUGUGAGAAAUCAAGGAGCCAUCCAUUGAAGAUCCAAGGGUGGACAUUGAGUGGCCAAGGCUAUAAAUAGAAGGGUAAUCCCCUCAUUUUCACUCACCACACUACAAGCAAACUCAAGAGCUUUCACUCCACACUUGCCCACACGUUUUUGCCUCCAAGCUUCCAAGCUUUCAAGUGCUCAAGUGUCCUAGCUUUCCAAAGCUUCAAGAGCUCUCCAACUUCUUCUUCUAAUCUUCUUGUUCAUCUUUAUAAGUAAGAAGUGUUGUUUGCUUUAAUAUUCCACUCUUCUAAUCACCUCUUGUGUGUGUCCACUUUAGUUGAGAGGGUUGUCUCAAUAGUACCAAAGUGUGAGAGAAGGUUUUUGAGCUCAACCAUAAAGCUCUAGUUUGGUUUUAUAGAGUUUCCAGGAAAACUCUUAGGUCGAGUCUACCUUGAAAGAUUUCAGAGGUUUUUAAGAGUUCCUUGAUACUCUAAGGUACUAACUUACCCGCAAAAGUUAGAGGUUUUUAAGAGUGCCCUUGAUAUUCUAAGGUGUGAGUCUACCCGUAAAAGACUGGUUCCUAAGCGAAGUAGCCUUAAAGCUUAGAGAGGUUUUUAAGAGUUCCUUGAUAUUCUAACGUACUAACUUACCCGCAAAAGUUAGAGGUUCUUAAGAGUGCCCUUGAUACUCUAAGGUGUGAGUCUACCUAUAAAAGACUGGUUCCUAAGCGAAGUAGCCUUAAAGCUUAGAGAGGUUCUUAAGAGUUUCCUUGAUACUCUAAGGUUUUGCCAUAACCUUUAGGCGAGUGAAUUCCGACAGUUGGUCGGGACUGGACUUGCCCUUGUUUGGGUGAACCAGUAUAAAUCUCUUGUAUUGUUCUUUGUUAACUCUAGUUUUUAUCUUUCAUCUAAAAACAACUAAACAACACUUAAUUGAAAAGGAUCCCUCUUCCAGUUAUCUGGUCAAAUACAGAGGUUGACUACUUUACGCAGAUCCCUCAUCCAGUUAUCUGGUCAACUAUCUGAGGUUAUAUUCAUUGCUUUAAAUUUUUAUUUAUAUAUUUGUUCAAAUAUUUACUUAUCAUAUAUAUAUUCAGUUAUCUGGUCAUUUACUUGUUUAUCAAUAUAUUCAGUAAUCUGGCUAUUUACUCUAUAAUAUAACUUGUUUUUAUAAUAUAACUUAGUAUUCAUAUACUAUAGUUGUUUAUAAAACACCAUCUGAAAAAUUGACUACGUAUUAUAUACUGUAGUAAACUUCAAGAGGAAAAGGCAAGUCCAAUAUAUAUAAUAUUAUAAGAUAUAAUAUUAUAUUCUUUAAAAUUAUAUAAUAGUAUUGUAUUGCUAACAAUAUUAUACUAUUUUAUUAUACAACCAUUUGUGUUUUUAAGUGUGUGCAGGUAAUUCCGCUAUUAACUUGCAUAAAUCGAAAAGAGACUAUUAUCCCCC
rnacentral:lncRNA from 1 species